rnacentral:rRNA from 1 species
UCUAGCCAUGGGCAGGUUGAAGGUUGGGUAACACUAACUGGAGGACCGAACCGACUAAUGUUGAAAAAUUAGCGGAUGACUUGUGGCUGGGGGUGAAAGGCCAAUCAAACCGGGAGAUAGCUGGUUCUCCCCGAAAGCUAUUUAGGUAGCGCCUCGUGAAUUCAUCUCCGGGGGUAGAGCACUGUUUCGGCAAGGGGGUCAUCCCGACUUACCAACCCGAUGCAAACUGCGAAUACCGGAGAAUGUUAUCACGGGAGACACACGGCGGGUGCUAACGUCCGUCGUGAAGAGGGAAACAACCCAGACCGCCAGCUAAGGUCCCAAAGUCAUGGUUAAGUGGGAAACGAUGUGGGAAGGCCCAGACAGCCAGGAUGUUGGCUUAGAAGCAGCCAUCAUUUAAAGAAAGCGUAAUAGCUCACUGGUCGAGUCGGCCUGCGCGGAAGAUGUAACGGGGCUAAACCAUGCACCGAAGCUGCGGCAGCGACACUGUGUGUUGUUGGGUAGGGGAGCGUUCUGUAAGCCUGUGAAGGUGUGCUGUGAGGCAUGCUGGAGGUAUCAGAAGUGCGAAUGCUGACAUAAGUAACGAUAAAGCGGGUGAAAAGCCCGCUCGCCGGAAGACCAAGGGUUCCUGUCCAACGUUAAUCGGGGCAGGGUGAGUCGACCCCUAAGGCGAGGCCGAAAGGCGUAGUCGAUGGGAAACAGGUUAAUAUUCCUGUACUUGGUGUUACUGCGAAGGGGGGACGGAGAAGGCUAUGUUGGCCGGGCGACGGUUGUCCCGGUUUAAGCGUGUAGGCUGGUUUUCCAGGCAAAUCCGGAAAAUCAAGGCUGAGGCGUGAUGACGAGGCACUACGGUGCUGAAGCAACAAAUGCCCUGCUUCCAGGAAAAGCCUCUAAGCAUCAGGUAACAUCAAAUCGUACCCCAAACCGACACAGGUGGUCAGGUAGAGAAUACCAAGGCGCUUGAGAGAACUCGGGUGAAGGAACUAGGCAAAAUGGUGCCGUAACUUCGGGAGAAGGCACGCUGAUAUGUAGGUGAAGUCCCUCGCGGAUGGAGCUGAAAUCAGUCGAAGAUACCAGCUGGCUGCAACUGUUUAUUAAAAACACAGCACUGUGCAAACACGAAAGUGGACGUAUACGGUGUGACGCCUGCCCGGUGCCGGAAGGUUAAUUGAUGGGGUCAGCGCAAGCGAAGCUCUUGAUCGAAGCCCCGGUAAACGGCGGCCGUAACUAUAACGGUCCUAAGGUAGCGAAAUUCCUUGUCGGGUAAGUUCCGACCUGCACGAAUGGCGUAAUGAUGGCCAGGCUGUCUCCACCCGAGACUCAGUGAAAUUGAACUCGCUGUGAAGAUGCAGUGUACCCGCGGCAAGACGGAAAGACCCCGUGAACCUUUACUAUAGCUUGACACUGAACAUUGAGCCUUGAUGUGUAGGAUAGGUGGGAGGCUUUGAAGUGUGGACGCCAGUCUGCAUGGAGCCGACCUUGAAAUACCACCCUUUAAUGUUUGAUGUUCUAACGUGGACCCGUGAUCCGGGUUGCGGACAGUGUCUGGUGGGUAGUUUGACUGGGGCGGUCUCCUCCUAAAGAGUAACGGAGGAGCACGAAGGUUGGCUAAUCCUGGUCGGACAUCAGGAGGUUAGUGCAAUGGCAUAAGCCAGCUUGACUGCGAGCGUGACGGCGCGAGCAGGUGCGAAAGCAGGUCAUAGUGAUCCGGUGGUUCUGAAUGGAAGGGCCAUCGCUCAACGGAUAAAAGGUACUCCGGGGAUAACAGGCUGAUACCGCCCAAGAGUUCAUAUCGACGGCGGUGUUUGGCACCUCGAUGUCGGCUCAUCACAUCCUGGGGCUGAAGUAGGUCCCAAGGGUAUGGCUGUUCGCCAUUUAAAGUGGUACGCGAGCUGGGUUUAGAACGUCGUGAGACAGUUCGGUCCCUAUCUGCCGUGGGCGCUGGAGAACUGAGGGGGGCUGCUCCUAGUACGAGAGGACCGGAGUGGACGCAUCACUGGUGUUCGGGUUGUCAUGCCAAUGGCACUGCCCGGUAGCUAAAUGCGGAAGAGAUAAGUGCUGAAAGCAUCUAAGCACGAAACUUGCCCCGAGAUGAGU